rnacentral:piRNA from 1 species
UAUACACUGCUUCUUGGAGAUUUGUCUGAAU